rnacentral:rRNA from 1 species
UACGGAGGAUGCGAGCGUUAUCCGGAUUUAUUGGGUUUAAAGGGUGCGCAGGCGGUCUGUUAAGUCAGCGGUCAAAGCCCGGGGCUCAACCCCGGCCCGCCGUUGAAACUGGCAGUCUCGAGUUGGAGAGAAGUAUGCGGAAUGCGCGGUGUAGCGGUGAAAUGCAUAGAUAUCACGCAGAACGCCGAUUGCGAAGGCAGCAUACCGGCGCCCAACUGACGCUGAGGCACGAAGGCCAGGGGAGCGAAAGGG